AGUGAACGCUGGCGGUAGGCCUAACACAUGCAAGUCGAACGGCAGCACAGUAAGAGCUUGCUCUUACGGGUGGCGAGUGGCGGACGGGUGGGGAAUACAUCGGAAUCUACUUUUUCGUGGGGGAUAACGUAGGGAAACUUACGCUAAUACCGCAUACGACCUACGUGUGAAAGCAGGGGAUCUUCGGACCUUGCGCGAUUGAAUGAGCCGAUGUCGGAUUAGCUAGUUGGCGGGGUAAAGGCCCACCAAGGCGACGAUCCGUAGCUGGUCUGAGAGGAUGAUCAGCCACACUGGAACUGAGACACGGUCCAGACUCCUACGGGAGGCAGCAGUGGGGAAUAUUGGACAAUGGGCGCAAGCCUGAUCCAGCCAUACCGCGUGGGUGAAGAAGGCCUUCGGGUUGUAAAGCCCUUUUGUUGGGAAAGAAAAGCAGCAGGUUAAUACCCCGCUGUUCUGACGGUACCCAAAGAAUAAGCACCGGCUAACUUCGUG
rnacentral:rRNA from 1 species